CCUGGUUGAUCCUACCAAUAGUCAUAUGCUUUUCUCAAAUAUUAAGCCAUGCAUAUGUAAGUAAUAACAAAUUCAGACUGUGAAACUGUGAAUGGCUCAUUAAAUAAAUUAUAGUUUGUUUGAUGGUAUCCACUACUCGAAUAACCAUAGUAAUUCUUGAGCUAAUAUGUAGAACAAAGCCUAACUUAUGAAAUCAAUGUGGGCUCUGCUCGUUGUUGCGAUGAUUCAUGAUAACUCGAUGAAUUACACGGCCAUCAUGCCGGUUAUGCAUUAUUCAAAUUUCUGCCCUAUCAACUUUCGAUGGUAGGAUAAUGGCCUACCAUGGUGGUGACGGGUGAAAGAGAUUUAGUGUUCGAUUUUUGAUAGUGAGCCUGAAAAACGGCUACCACAUCUAAGGAAGGCAGCAGGCACGCAGAUUAGCCAAUCCUAACAUGGGGAGUUAGUGAUAAUAAAUAACAAUACCGGGCUUAAUAAGUCUGGUAAUUGGAAGGAGCACAAUCUAAAUCCCUUAACGAGGAUCUAUUAGAGGGAAUGUUUGGUGCCAACAGCCACGGUAAUUCUAGCUCUAAGCGUAUAUUUAAGUCGUUGCAGUUAAAAAAAUCAUAGUUCGACGUUAGGAUGGGUCGUCUUGUCCACCAAUGGUGUGCACCGAUCACCUCGUCCCUUCUAUCCUCAAUGCACUCCUGGCAUUAACUUGCUGGGUGGUGCCUCCGCUGCUGUUACUUUGAAGAAAUUAGAGUGCUCAAAUCAAUCCUAUGCUCUGUAUACAUUAGCAUGGGAUAACAUUAUAGGAUUUUUGUCCUAUUAUGUUGGCCUUUGGGAUCGGAGUAAUGAUUAACAAGGACAGUCAGGGGUAUUUGUAUUUCAUAGUCAGAGGUGAAAUACUUGCAUUUAUUAAAGAUGAACAACUGUGAAAUCAUUUGCGAAGGAUGUUUUUAAUAAUCAAGGAUGAAAGUAUGAGGCUCAAAGACGAUCAGAUACCAUCCUAGUCUCAACCAUAAACGAUGACGACUAGGGAACGAUGGAUGUUUCUUUGACUCUGCCAGCACCUUAUGAGAAAUCAAAGUUUUUGGGUUUCGGGGAGAGUAUGGCCAUAAGGCUGAAACUUAAAGGAAUUGAUGGAAGGGAACCACCAGGAGUGGAACCACGGUUUAAUAUGACUCAACACGGGGAAACUUACCAGGUCUAGAAAUAAUAAGGAUUGAAAGACUGAGAGCUCUUUUUGAUUCUGUGGGUAGUGGUACAUGUCCGUUCUUAGUUGAUGGAGGGAGAUGUCUAGUUAAUUCUGUUAACAAACAAGACCUUAUACUACUAACUAGAUAUGUGGAGGUAUUCCUUCACGGCCAGUUUUUUAGAGGGACUACGACCUUUUAGGCCACGGAAGUUUGAGGUAAUAACAGGUAUAUGAUGCCCGUAGAUGUUCUGGGCCGCACGCGCUCUACACUGAUGUAUUCAAUGAGUUUAUAAACUUAGCCGACAGGCCCGGGUAAUCUUUGAAAUUUCAUCAUGAUGUUGAUAGAUCAUUGCAAUUAUUGGUCUUCAACAAGGAAUUCCUAUUAAGUGUGAGCCAUCAGCUCGUGUUGACUACAUCUCUGCCCUUUGUACACACCGUCUAUCGUUCCUACCAAUCGAAUAAUCUGGUAAAAUGUUCAAAUUAUGAUGAUGUGGGUGGUUCACUGCCUGCAAUAUCAUGAGAAGUCCAUUAAACCUUAUCAAUUAGAGGAAGAAAAAGUCGUAACAAGGUUUCAGUAGGUGAACCUAUGGAAG
rnacentral:rRNA from 1 species